rnacentral:rRNA from 1 species
CCUACGGGUGACUGCAGUCGAGAAUCAUUCACAAUGGGGGAAACCCUGAUGGUGCGACGCCGCGUGGGGGAAUGAAGGUCUUCGGAUUGUAAACCCCUGUCAUGUGGGCGCAAAUUAAAAAGAUAGUACCACAAGAGGAAGAGACGGCUAACUCUGUGCCAGCAGCCGCGGUAAUACAGAGGUCUCAAGCGUUGUUCGGAAUCACUGGGCGUAAAGCGUGCGUAGGCCGUUUCGUAAGUCGUGUGUGAAAGGCGCGGGCUCAACCCGCGGACGGCACAUGAUACUGCGAGACUAGAGUAAGGGAGGGGGAACCGGAAUUCGCGGUGUAGCAGUGAAAUGCGUAGAUAUCGAGAGGAACACUCGUGGCGAAGGCGGGUUCCUGGACAUUAACUGACGCUGAGGCACGAAGGCCAGGGGAGCGAAAGGGAUUAGAUACCCCUGUAGUC